AACGCGAAGAACCUUACCUAAGCUUGACAUCCUUUUGACCUCUCCCUAAUCGGAGAUUUCCCUUCGGGGGCAGAAGUGACAGGUGGUGCAUGGUUGUCGUCAGCUCGUGUCGUGAGAUGUUGGGUUAAGUCCCGCAACGAGCGCAACCCUUGUCUUUAGUUGCCAGCAUUAAGUUGGGCACUCUAGAGGGACUGCCAGGGAUAACCUGGAGGAAGGUGGGGAUGACGUCAAAUCAUCAUGCCCCUUAUGCUUAGGGCUACACACGUGCUACAAUGGGUGGUACAGAGGGCAGCCAAGUCGUGAGGCGGAGCUAAUCCCUUAAAGCCAUUCUCAGUUCGGAUUGUAGGCUGAAACUCGCCUACAUGAAGCUGGAGUUACUAGUAAUCGCAGAUCAGAAUGCUGCGGUGAAUGCGUUCCCGGGUCUUGUACACACCG
rnacentral:rRNA from 1 species